UCGUGCCCUGAGGAGCGAGCGCCACCCAGGCGGCCGCCUUGCUUUAGGAGAAGACGUGUUUUGCGCUCAAUCUGAAACUCGCCCAGGGUCAGCAUUUGCUUUGUACAUGAGAUUCUCACUCGUUAACGUUACAAGGAGCCUUGCAACACUUGUUUACAAAAGCUGUGGAAUGGAUCUGGUAUUACAAAGGGCACGUCCUCAUUAAUCUUUCCACACAAAUUGUUUUAAGCGCCCCUAGUAUGAGCAGUUAUCAAUCAUAAAAUGCUGCCACUGCCAAUAAAUAAAUCCUUGCAACCACACCCCUCCUUGUGGUAAAUUGUAUUGUGGUGCUCAAUGCUAUGUGCCAGGUCCAUGCAAACAAUGCCCACGGCUCUCUGCAAAUCACUGCACCAACUGUUUUGUGAGAUCCCGUGGCACAAUUCUCAGCACUGCCCAUCUCAGAGGCCAUAGUAUCAGCACAGUUUUAUCAUUUGCUGCCACCAGAUGCUGCCACUGCCUUAUCAAUAAUGAGAUUUAUUUGCUUCUGCUUAGCUGUAAUAAUUAAGGAAGUCCAACUAGUAUCCAUUUGUUUACUUGUGUAAGAAAAAAGGGGUGGCGGGAGGUUUCGAAAAGUUGAAGGAAUGGGCAGGCAGCCUUCCAAGCAAAACUGUGGGCUCCAAGGUGCAUGUACAGGGAUAACAUUGGGAUCAGGCAUUCCUGACAGUAUUGCAUAGCGAUCCCUAAGUUUAUUUAUAAUGUUAAAAAAAGUGUUUGGACCCCUUCAAGUUGAGUUGCAUCAUCUGUGAUUACAGCCCCAGCUUCGAUGUAAUCAAGCAUUUUGUAACUACCCAUGCCCUGCCUGAAGCUUAUCUACCUUUGCCGCUAAAUGCUGUCUCAAAACUACAAAAUAAAAGAAUGAUUAACUUCUCUACAUAUUUCAAAAUUAAGGUUGUUUUGCUUUCUUUGUCUAAAAUGAUUAAAUAUGUUUGCAGGGCAUGCUUUGAGAGCUUACGCUGAGACAAACUACGAUCAUCCCCGAUUACAGACCUGCCUUCGAUGCGUGGACUGCUCUUUUUGAACCCUCCCUGCCACUCUGCCUGGAGCUUUUUUGUUGCCGAUGCUAACAUAUGUCUUAAAUAAAAGUAUCAUCAACUUAUUUACACAACUAACCAUCUUCAAGACUUAACAGUUUUCUUGUUUUUCUUCUGAUAAUACUGUUGUGCUGUUGCUGUUUUUUUCUGUCUGUAGUGUUCGCCUUGUAGACGUGCUUGCAUGAUAAACUGUGCUCCUGCUAAAUCACUUUAUUUUCAUUUUUACAGCAUAGCUAUAGGGCUGUAAUUGGCAGGCUGCUUAUUCCUUCGUGGUGUCGUUCCAUAAUCAUGAUCUUCCAUGAAUCACAAUCACAAUGUUUUUUUAUGGCCUCCGGCACCUGGGUGUCAACUCACAUUCAAGGUCGACUAGUGUUUUGAGCACGUACAGCAUCAUAUAAACAAAGCUGGCAUGACAAGCAGUGUUAGUGGACACAGAGCAAGCGCAUGUGAGCACACACAACUCUCAAGUGGCAGAAGUUACACAAGGGGGUGCAAUUAGUUUGUGCGCAGCACACCAUACAGACCAACACCAUCUUAGACACGAGCAAAAGCCAGGUGCUACAGAAAACACAUACAAUGUAAAUGGCAAAAUGACAAUUCUUGAACUGUGCAUGGUGAAAAGACCCUUACUGAAAAACAACUGCCUAGUGGAAACUGUAGAGAUUUUGUCAAGUUCAACCUACAUUUCAUUACACUGACUUCUGAAGUGGUACACUGUUUAAUUAAAGAAGCUAUACAGAUUCAGGAGUUUAAAAAAGAAAACAGAUCUACACGUGUGUUAGCGGCUACAAAGUCGGACACAGAAUAUAUGGCUGCUUUAGACCUUGUGCAACAAUGUGCAAUUUAGUGCAAAAUGCACUAAAUUGUCCAUUUUGUGCGCUUGUGCUACACCUACCGAAACCCAAUCCUGUCCGAUUGCUCAGGGGAGCCAAAAAAUGCAGUGCUUCCAUAGUAAGCUAUGACAUAAAACCCCGGUUACAUUUCUUACCUCCCUUUGUCGAAGUAUUUCAUGAAUGCUCAUAAUAGCAGCUUCAAGCGCAAGCAAAUUUGGCAAAGAAUAUCACACGCAACACAAGCCUGCAAGAUAAUGACUUCCUAAUGUGAUAGCUAUGCUGAUCACUAACACAGUGCACUUAGUGAUACGUUAAACACAUAAUUAUGAGGAACUGAAAACCAUCUACAAUGGAAUCUCAAUGAUACAAAUUUCUCAGGAUGGUGCAAAAAUUCAUAUCCUCCGAAAUUCGUAUCACCCAAAAAUGUUUUUAAAAAUCUAGACAGUAAGGGGCAGCAAUGCAAUCGCCAACUUACUCAUAAUGUCAGAUUUCUAUGUUUAUUUAUUUUCCCGCAAGUCCUAAGGCCUUCCUUUAUCUUUUGGCUAAACAUUUGGAAGAAAUAUGCAGCAGAAUUUGAGAAACUUGGACACUUUUAGUGUGUUGUUUUCGAAAUCGGGAAGAAAAUCAGGCUUCGGGAGGUCCUAUUGAACCGCUGAUAGCGCGAGCGUGGCUUUCCAUUGACGCAUAAACACAAGAUGGAAAUUCAGAUGGCCACAGUGCUGUAUUUCUCCAUGCAGAAAUAAAAGCUACGAAAGCGAUCGCGAAAAGGAAAAACUAGCAUCGCAAUUUGUUACUGUAGUCACAUGGCGCGCAGGAAGAACUCCUAUUGGCUGAUGCUAAUUCGAAUCACUGGCACGCUUGUUUCGAGCACAUUUUGGCAGCAGCAAGCUGCGCACUCUGCAUGUUCCGAGGCUGACAUUUCAAGAUCUGCCUGGCUAUCUUGAGUUUUUUUUUUCAUUGCUGCGUUCUAGCUGCUGCCUGACGGUGAUAAGUACAUGAUUUGUGCAAGAUAAGGGAAUCUGUGCGCUUUUCUUUGCACUGGUGAAGCUACUUUGUAUCGUGCAAUCUGACAGGUGCAAAGGUAGCAAAGUUUCAAAUUGUCAUCAGUCACCCAAGUCAGCG
rnacentral:lncRNA from 1 species